rnacentral:rRNA from 1 species
UGGGGAAUAUUGGACAAUGGGCGCAAGCCUGAUCCAGCAAUGCCGCGUGGGUGAUGAAGGCCUUAGGGUUGUAAAGCCCUUUCGGCGGGGACGAUGAUGACGGUACCCGCAGAAGAAGCCCCGGCUAACUUCGUGCCAGCAGCCGCGGUAAUACGAAGGGGGCGAGCGUUGUUCGGAAUUACUGGGCGUAAAGGGCGCGCAGGCGGCGUCGGAAGUUAGGCGUGAAAGCCCCGGGCUCAACCUGGGAAUUGCGCUUAAUACUCCGAUGCUGGAGUUCGGGAGAGGAGAGUGGAAUUCCCAGUGUAGAGGUGAAAUUCGUAGAUAUUGGGAAGAACACCGGUGGCGAAGGCGGCUCUCUGGACCGAUACUGACGCUGAGGCGCGAAAGCGUGGGGAGCAAACAGGAUUAGAUACCCCCGUAGUCC